rnacentral:lncRNA from 1 species
CUUAUAUUGUGGCUCAUUGUCUGUGAUGACCUGCAUGACAUACUGUUCACCUACUAAAUCAAUCAUCUCCUCCAUCAGACCAAGGAUAUAUGUGGCAUUGUACGUCUUAUCUGAAGCAUCAAUUGAUUUGUGAAAAAAAAAAAUUUCACAGUAUGUCAAAAAAUUAAUGAUGCUCCAUCUAGUAGGACUAGUCCAACCAUCACACAUC